CCAUGAGUACAGUGGCGUACGGGUGAGUAACACGUGACUAACCUACCCUCGAGUGGGGAAUAACCUAGGGAAACCUGGGCUAAUACCGCAUAACAUCUUCGGAUCAAAUGCGUAAGCAGCUUGAGGAGGGGGUCGCGGCCGAUUAGCUAGUUGGCGGGGUAAUGGCCCACCAAGGCAAUGAUCGGUAGCCGGCCUGAGAGGGCGCACGGCCACACUGGAACUGAAACACGGGCCAG
rnacentral:rRNA from 1 species